UUUAUCAUUCACACAAUUCAAUCAAAUUUCAUAGGUUUAACAACACCAUUUUCAUCAUUCCCUCAAUUCAAUCAAAUUUCAUGGGUUUAACCUAAACAUUUUUAGCAUUCACACAAUUCAUUCAAAUUUCAUGGGUUUAACAACGGCAAUUUCAUCAUUCCCAUAAUUCAAUCCAUUUUCGUGGGUUUAAAAGCAACAUUUUCAUCAUUCAUACAAUUCAAUCAAAUUUCAUUGGUUUAAUAACAACAUUUUCAUCAUUCACACAAUUCAGUCGAAUUUCAUGGGUUUAAUAAAACAUUUUCAUCAUUCACACAAUUCAAUAAAAUUUCAUGGGUUUAACCUAAACAUUUUCAUCAUACACACAAUUCAAUCAAAUUUCAUGGGUUUAACAACAACAUUUUUAUCAUUUACACAAUUCAAUCAAAUUUCAUGGGUUUAACAACAAUAUUUUCAUCAUUCACACAAUUCAAUCAACUUUCAUGGGUAUAAAAAUAACAUUUUCAUCAUUCACACAAUUUAAUCAGAUUUCAUAGGUUUAACAACACCAUUUUCAUCAUUCACAAAAUUCAAUCAACUUUCAUGGGUUUAACCUAAACAUUU
rnacentral:lncRNA from 1 species